rnacentral:rRNA from 1 species
UACAGAGGUCUCGAGCGUUUAGGCGGAAUCACUGGGCUUAAAGCGUGUGUAGGCGGAUCGUUAAGUGCCUUGUGAAAUCCCACGGCUUAACCGUGGAACUGCUUGGCAUACUGGCGGUCUUGAGCAACCUAGGGGCGAGCGGAACAAAUGGUGGAGCGGUGAAAUGCGUAGAUAUCAUUUGGAACACCAAUGGCGAAGGCAGCUCGCUGGGACGGUACUGGACGCUGGAGACGCGAAAGCGUGGGGAGCAAACAGG